rnacentral:rRNA from 1 species
GAUGAACGCUGGCGGCGUGCCUAACACAUGCAAGUCGAGCGAAGCGCUUAAAUUAGAUUUCUUCGGAAUGACGAUUUUUGUGACUGAGCGGCGGACGGGUGAGUAACGCGUGGGUAACCUGCCUCAUACAGGGGGAUAACCGUUAGAAAUGACUGCUAAUACCGCAUAAGACCCCAGCUUCGCAUGAAGCGGUGGUAAAACCUCCGGUGGUAUGAGAUGGACCCGCGUCGGAUUAGCUAGUUGGUACGGUAACGGCAUACCAAGGCGACGAUGACUAGCCGACCUGAGAGGCUGACCGGCGACACUGGGACUGAGACACGGCCGAGACUCCUACGGGAGGCAGCAGUGGGGAAUAUUGCACAAUGGGGGAAACCCUGAUGCAGCGACGCCGCGUGAAGGAUGAAGUAUGUCGGUAUGUAAACUGCUAUCAGCAGGGAAGAAAGUGACGGUACCUGACGAAGAAGCCCCGGCUAACUACGUG